GGCGCAGGUGGAGUGCACGGAGGAGAAUGGUGAAAGAACUGAAGCGUUUGAUGAAAAAGAGACCGUUGAAAAUCAAAACGAGGUCGGAGACGAAGAGACUGUCGAAAAUCAAGACGACGACGGAGAAGCUCGGGAGGUUGUUGAGGAGUGCGACGAUGUGAUGCCAUCGGUGAGUAAUGGUCCGGCACCGGAAGAGAAUGUAGGAACAAGUCAAAGUGAGAGUGAAGCCGAUUCCUCGGCAAAUCCCGAAGAGGAUGAGAAUUCAUCACCGAAACAAGAAAACAAUGCAGCUGGAGCUGGAGAGGUCGAAGAGAAUGUGAAACAGAGCGGGGGCGAAGGAGAGGUCGAAGAGAAUGUGCAACAGAGUGGGGGCGAAGGAGCAAGAGAUGAGAACUCGAAGAACAAAGAGCUGUUGGAGAGGAUGAUGGAGGAUCAUGGGAGAAUGAUGGAAAUGAUGGCGCAAUUAUUUGAGAGGAAUGAAAUGCAGACGAGGUUGUUGAGUGCUCUGUCUCAUAGGGUUGAGCAGCUGGAGAAGGCUUUCAUGCGUGAGAGGUUGAGGAGGAAGAAAAAGAAGAACGCUGCGGGCGCUGCUGAUGGUUGUGAAACGUCGCGGGAUAACAAGAAAUGCGGGAAGAGAUAGUGAUUUGAGAUUUGUCUCUCAAAUGUCUUUUGUUUAACACGUUUUUAUGUUUGUAAUUUCAAUUCAAACUUGCUGUUGGUGGUAAUGGUGAUUUGAGAGAUUCUCUCUGUGUUAAUUGGCAAUGCCCGUGUGUGAAGCAAGUUAAUCUUAGUUAUUAAUCAUUACAAUCAUUCAAUCA
rnacentral:lncRNA from 1 species